GUUUCAAUGUACAGAUGUCUGAAUGUACAUCGGUACAUUCCAAAUUGGUUUCUGUUCUCAAAACUUAUGUUUGCCUCAACCAAAUAUUAUGAAUCUUAUGCACAAUGCUGAUUACCACAAAGCACAUAUCAAAUUUGAAUAUGGUUGACUGCACUUUGACUUUUCUAGAGUUAUGCCCUUUUACAAAUUGAAAAAUUGCUGAUUUUUUCUUUUCCCUUAGCUUACUUAUAUUUGCCUCAACCAAACGUUAUGAAACAGAAUGCUAAUUACCACCAAACUUAGAUCAAAUGUGAAUUUGGGUAGCUUCACUUUUAUCGUUCUUGUUCUCAUCUUUGCCCCAUGGACAUGAUGGACACAUCCCCAAUUAUUUAUUGUUCAAAACAGACAAACAGAUAAGUAUCACACGGACUACCUGGCUUGUGAUAUCUUUUGAAGUUUUCAAGUGAACCACCAGUCA
rnacentral:lncRNA from 1 species